AAUGUGUUUACUUUUAGAAUGGAGAUUUAUGCAUAUCCAUCCUGCAUCCUCCUGUUGAUGACCCACAGAGUGGUGAGUUGCCUUGUGAACGUUGGAAUCCUACACAGAAUGUCAGGACAGUCCUACUCAGUGUGAUCUCUUUAUUAAAUGAGCCGAACACUUUCUCUCCCGCUAAUGUAGAUGCUUCAGUAAUGUAUCGUCGCUGGAAGGAAUCCAAGGGUAAACAUAAAGAAUAUGAGAAUAUUAUAAG